AGUGAACGCUGGCGGUAGGCCUAACACAUGCAAGUCGAACGGCAGCACAGUAAGAGCUUGCUCUUACGGGUGGCGAGUGGCGGACGGGUGAGGAAUACAUCGGAAUCUACUUUUUCGUGGGGGAUAACGUAGGGAAACUUACGCUAAUACCGCAUACGACCUACGGGUGAAAGCAGGGGAUCAUCGGACCUUGCGCGAUUGAAUGAGCCGAUGUCGGAUUAGCUAGUUGGCGGGGUAAAGGCCCCCCAAGGCGACGAUCCGUAGCUGGUCUGAGAGGAUGUUCACCCACACUGGACCUGAGACCCGGCCCAGCCUCCUACGGGAGGCAGCAGUGGGAAAUAUUGGACAAUGGGCGCAAGCCUGCUCCGGCCAGACCGCGUGGGUGAAGAAGGCCUUCGGGUUGUAAAGCCCUUUUGUUGGGAAAGAAAAGCAGCAGGUUAAUACCCCGCUGUUCUGACGGUACCCAAAGAAUAAGCACCGCCUACCUUCGU
rnacentral:rRNA from 1 species